rnacentral:rRNA from 1 species
UAACGUAGACGUAAAGUUACGCUAAAUACCGCAUAUUCUGUGAGCAGGAAAGCAGGGGGAUCGCAAGACCUUGCGCUUUAGGAGCGGCCGAUGUCGGAUUAGCUAGUUGGUGAGGUAAAGGCUCACCAAGGCGACGAUCCGUAGCGGGUCUGAGAGGAUGAUCCGCCACACUGGGACUGAGACACGGCCCAGACUCCUACGGGAGGCAGCAGUGGGAAUUUUGGACAAUGGGCGCAAGCCUGAUCCAGCCAUGCCGCGUGAGUGAAGAAGGCCUUCGGGUUGUAAAGCUCUUUCGGCGGGGAAGAAAUGGCGCUUUCUAAUACAGAGCGUCGAUGACGGUACCCGCAUAAGAAGCACCGGCUAACUCCGUG